CCUACGGGACGCAGCAGUGAGGAAUAUUGGUCAAUGGGCGGGAGCCUGAACCAGCCAAGUCGCGUGAGGGAAGAAGGUACUGAGUAUUGUAAACCUCUUUUGCCAGGGGACAAAGGCGGCCACGGGUGGCCGUAAGAGGGUACCUGAAGAAAAAGCAUCGGCUAACUCCGUGCCAGCAGCCGCGGUAAUACGGAGGAUGCGAGCGUUAUCCGGAUUUAUUGGGUUUAAAGGGUGCGUAGGCGGUCCGUUAAGUCAGCGGUAAAAUUGCGGGGCUCAACCCCGUCGAGCCGUUGAAACUGGCAGAC
rnacentral:rRNA from 1 species